UAUAUUUAAAAGAAGAAAAACUACCACAACAAGAGGACAUAGUCUUAAAUUAGAGGGGCAAAGGUUUAAAAAUAAUAUCAGGAAGUAUUACUUUACUAUGUCCUCUUGUUGUGGUAGUUUUUCUUCU